rnacentral:lncRNA from 10 species
GUCUGUGCUGGAGUUAUCCUGGCACCCAGCCUACAAUCAGAGGAAAUAUGCGGUUCAUCCAUGGAAUUUGAGUCAGGCCUAGUUUUCACCUCUUCUGAGGGUGGAGCAGGGCCUCUGGGCUGGAGGGAUACAGACACUGUCAUUUGUCCCUCUCUGCUGUCUAAGGUGGCCAGAGAAGUCCUUUCAUUUCCCCUGAACCUUGCAGA